AUUUCAAGCAUUGUUACCAAAACCUAGUUUUGAUUGUGAGAAAUAAAAGGAUUUUGUAUUCCACCUUUCAAAAAUUGAAACUAUUUCAAGUUUUUUAUGGGACUUAAAUGAUUCAUAUAGACAAGCUAGGAGUCAAAUACUUAUGAUGAGAUCUUGCCAUCUGUGAACAAGGCCUAUGCUAUGAUACUUGGUGAUGAAAGCCAAAGAAUGUUGCAGCUACUGCAGGAAUACUAGGUCCUAAUCUUGAAAAAUGUUAAUCUAGAUAUGGUAAUGUAUUCUAGAAAUCACGGUAAUAGGAGUUCCAAUAGUGGUAGUAAUGUGAACUUUCAGAAGUAUAACAGUGGAUCUGGGACUAGUUCUUAUCAGAAGUUCAAGAAAAUCUCUUCUGUGAUUUUUGCAAGAACAAAGGACAUAGUUGGCUAUCUCAAGAAGAAAGGUUUUGGGUCAAAUUGCCAUAAUGCUGCUUACAAUAUGUCAAGCACUGGUUAUUCUGAAAAUUACACUUAGUAUACUAAUCAGCCUAGUACUUCUAAUGCACCACCAAGUAGAUCCAGACAACUGAUUCAAGAACAAGAGCAUGAUGAGCUGACGAGUAAUAAGCAAAACUUCAACAAUGACUACUCAUGCAAUCAAAAUGGUGUUUAUGCUAGUCCUUUCACUAAAAGUCAAUAUGAGCAAAUUGUGCAACUAUUGAAUCAGACACCUAAUAACCUGACAAGUGAGAAGGCUCAUGCUAGCACCUCAGCUGGCAACUGAUGAGCUCUAGAGUGGAUCAUAGAUACAGGAGUCACAAAUCAUAUGGCUUCUGAUCUUGACCUCUUAAAUAUAGACACUGUCAACAAGUUAAUGGAGAUUUUUCCUUAGUAACUCAUAUUGAAAAUAACUCUUUCAGACACUAGUACUAUAUCAGAUGUGUUUUAUGUUUCAUAGUUUCAAUAAAAUUUGCUAUCAGUACCAAAACUAACAAAGGAACUGCAGUGUUUUGCUUAUUUUUUUCCUGACUUUUGUAUUUUUCAGGAUCUCCUCACUGGGAGAGUGAAGGAGACUAGUAAGCUUAAAGGUGGACUACACAUGCCAAGGAAUCAAUCUGUAGUUAAUGGAAGCAAGUGACCUUCUUUUUACUCUGAAGCUAUCAAGGAUCUAAGGUGGAUUGAGGCUAUGAAAGAAGAAAUUCCAGCACUAGAAAACAACCAGGCUUGGUGUGUUGUAAAGUUACCUAAAGGAAAAUCAACCAUUGGUUGUAAGUGGGUAUACGGAGUUAAAUACAAAGCCAAUGGAGAAAUUCAAACAUUUAAAGCCAGGCUAGUAGCCAAAGGCUAUAUCCAAAGAAAAUGAAUAGGGUUUCAAGAAACAUUUCACCUGUGGUAAAAGUGGUAACUGUAAGAACUAUUCUAUCUUUGGCAGUAGCUAAGAAAUGACAUAUACAUUAGAUGGA